UUGGGGAAGGGUGUUUAGGGACUGGACUGAUUCUUCUCUGUGGCUGUUUUGCUCUUAGCUGGGUUUUUGAGCCUCCGAAGUUUUCCAAAGAGAUUCGAAAAAACGAAAACUCAGCUCGGGAAGCCUCCACCAGCCGAUUCCUAUGCCAGUUCACCUCUGGCAAUGGCUGGACUGCUGGGACACACAGCAGCCAAGACCAACUCCACAUUCUUCCCGCCCCCUCAUUUCACUGGAGCCGGGAGCCCUGCGCUCAGGGGAAGGGCCUCAGCUCUACAGACUGCCAAAGUCGGCUGGGUCGCUCCACUCCAAAAAUGGUGAGAAAGGAUCUCAUCUUUUUCCGCAGAGGAGCCAGAAGCAG
ensembl:misc_RNA predicted gene, 27383